UAUGGAAUAAGUGGGUCCCUGUAACCACUUAGUUCUUUUAUACGCAGUCAUUUAAAUUUAGACACAAUUAAGCCCAAAUAGCCUUUAAUUGGGCCGAACAAGUACGGUUGAGGCUUUUAGCAGAGUGAGAGAUAGGUGGAGCAAGAGUCGUCUUCUCCAUGUUUGUGAUUACGAGAUUGAUUUGCCGGCGAAUCCAUGGCACAAGCGAUGUUACUGUUCCAAAGCUCUCAGGAUUCUCUAUUCUAUCUCCCAAACACGUUGAGGUAGAAUAUGCAGAUGACACCAAAUUCAAAUUCUCUUCAGAGUUUCUGAGAGUCAAUAGUCCAGCUGCUGAUGGAAAAAUCAGAUCAAUCGGUGGUGACAAGGUGAUAUCUGGAAGGCGGUAUGUAGGAAUCAUGUCUGCAGAACCGGUGGGAAACUAUGGGGUAAGGUUAGUGUUUGAUGACUUGCAUAGAACAGGGAUAUAUCCAUGGGAUUAUUUCUACGAGCUUGGGAGCAAUAAGUUUAAUCUCAUGAGAAACUAUAUCAAGACUCUCCAAAAGCAUCGUCUCAGCCGUGAACCUCCUCCGAGAAGGAAAUGAUUAUGAUGUCAAUGUGUUUUAAAACUGUCUUCAAAGUGUUUAAUAGAAUCAUUCUUGUGCAGCAGUGCAUGAACAUGUAAUAUUGUUGUCUUGUUUGUUUCAGAAUUACGGAACACAAACAGUUCUAAACGCUGCCCUUAUAAUUUUAAAUCACAUGGGUCUUAAGAGAGUAGACCAUCUAAACCUAUAUCUCAUAAAUGGUUAAAUUGUGUUAAUUAUUUGGUCGCCUUCUAUAUCACAUGUUGCCAGGUGUUUGCUCGUGCGAGAGAUUCAGCCCGUAGUAACUAUCAAGCGUGAGUGGCGUGACUACAUUGGGCUCUUAAGCAAAAGAAAAUUUUACAUUCACACAUAUUUUUUCCUUCUUCCAUAUCAUCUAGACAUACUCUCUACAUGUGGAGUACUUUACUGUACUCAAAUGACUGAACUACCCUAAACCAUGACUAUUCUAGUUAACUCUUCUUAUCAUAGUUAAAUUUAUUAUUUUUUACAUACAACCCAAUUUACUUCUUUACCAAAUUUUAUUUUCUCCUCUCUUUCUCUUGUUUCCUGCUUUUCACCAACUCUAAUUGUCGCUGAUUUUCCUUCCCCGCCACAUCUCUACGUCGAUGGUUUAACCCGCGGAGAUCCUCUCAGAUCUCCGAUUACUCAACACAAUCCUCUCAGACAAUCUCAAAUUACUAUAUCCUUUAAAAAAUCAUAAAUGUCGUUGAUUAAUCUCUCCUUGCCGCAGCUCUAGUUUCAUCCCGUCUUGUUCGCCGAUUCUCCGUUGAUACGAAGUUAGAAGAAGUACAUGUAUAAAAUGGUGAUGUUAUAACGGAAGGUGAUGGCGUGACUAAUUGGUGGUGGUGGCGUGACAAAUCAUUGAUCUCCUCGUUGCCGGUGGCAGAGCGUGAAGGAGGAGCAGAAAAGCUUGAUGGUGGAGGACGAGACAAGACGUGGUCAAGCUGGACUGGUGGUGCUGUUAGACAAAGAAGUGCAAAAACCUAUACCUAUGACCACACCAACUUUGACCAUAAUAAACCUACUUUACCGCUUAAAGCAUCGUUGGACUGGUGGUGCUGUUAGACAAAGAAGUCGCCGGAGUGACCACACCAACUUUGACCAUAACCAAAAAAUGUGCAAAAACCUAUCCCUAUGACCACACCGACUUUGACCAUAAUAAACCUACUUUACCGCUUAAAGCAUCGUUGUACUGCGUUCAACGAGAACUGUCUGAUUUUUUCCUAAAAUAUAUUCAUCUAACGGCUAGCAAAUAAUAUGCAUGUUUCAUGUACUACCAAUUUUUGCCCAUUUAGUUGGGACCAGCCCAUGUAACGACAAUCUCCAAGAAAGUUGCUUAACCUCUUUAGACUUAACCAAGGUUAAAAAGUUGUCCAUCAAAAGGGUUUUUUGGGGAGUAAAAGAGUUAAAGUAAGGGAAAAAGUACACCUCAUUCACAAAGUAUGUGAACAUGCAAGAAACAAUAGGAAAGUACUCCUAGACGUAAACGUCUCAUUAAAUCACUCUCAUUAGACGUGAUUGAUUACUAAAACAACGAAUAUUCUGUAAAACGUCAAACAAACUAAAAAAAUAACGUUUUUUUUUGUUUUCAAGUCUCUUUGCGUAUAUUAUUUGCUUAUAAAAAAAAGUUCACAAAAAAGUUUCUUCAAAUUAGUUUUAUAUUUUGAGUUAUCAGACGUUUCAUACUACUCUAUUUCAUAUUAGUAGCAAAUUAGUUUCUGAUAGGAUAUACAAAAUAUUCUAAUAACAUGAUCUCAUUACAAAUACUCAUAUAUAGACACUAAAAGCAACAUUAUUGGUGGGAUGAAGAAAGAGAGAGGGAGAGAAUCUUUUGUUUUUUUUUUUGUCAUUGGAAAGUAAGGGACAUCUCUUAAUUAAAAGUUUUUUCCUUCUCUUUCUUCCUCCGUUCUCACUUCCUUCCUCUAAGGAAUGUUUUAAAGGACUCCCAAUAAUGUUACCCUAAGUAACUUUCAUUAUAUACAUACAAAAUUAUGGAUUCCAAUUUUCGUCGAUUUGAUUUUCAUUUAUCGAUUUGCUUUUCAUUUUGAUCUCUUAAUUAAUUAAAAUCUAGAAAUAGAACGUUUCAUGAUAAAUAUAAAUAUUCAAAACUUAUAAAAGACUCGCAAUCAGCGAAGACCGAGUUUACGGAAUUUCUCAGUUUUUAUUUUUCCUUUCUCGAAGAAAAAGUAUUACUUUCGUUCCUUUCGCUUCAAUUCUCAACCACUUCAAUUCAACGAACAAAUAAUAAAUAAUUUAUUCAAGUUUUUAUAAUUCGAAUCCCAUUUUUCAUCCAUAUCCUCAGAAAACACUAAAAUUAUUAUUAAUUGUUUUUAUGUUUCGAUUUUAUCCUCUCCUUGCUCGUGGGACCCGGAUCUAAACAUAUUCUUCCGCACCUCAUGUGUUCGAGAGAAAAUCUUGAGUUCCCUUUCAACGACAGAGAGAAAGACAUUUUCCCUUUCGAAUUUUGAAUUUCAAGAGACGUUUUUUUGACGACGAGAAAACACUAUCCACAUACAAAUAAUAAUAAAGAAAAAGCUUCUUCUAGUUUUUGUUCCUCAUCUUCUGGUGUACAUAGAAAGAUUAAUCUGAAGCU